GGGGCUGAUUCUGGAUUCGACGGGAUUUUCGAAACCCAAGGUGCAUGCCGAGGGGCGGUUGGCCUCGUAAAAAGCCGCAAAAAAAUAGUCGCAAACGACGAAACCUACGCUUUAGCAGCUUAAUAACCUGCUUAGAGCCCUCUCUCCCUAGCCUCCGCUCUUAGGACGGGGAUCAAGAGAGGUCAAACCCAAAAGAGAUCGCGCGGAUGCCCUGCCUGGGGUUGAAGCGUUAAAACGAAUCAGGCUAGUCUGGUAGUGGCGUGUCCGUCCGCAGGUGCCAGGCGAAUGUAAAGACUGACUAAGCAUGUAGUACCGAGGAUGUAGGAAUUUCGGACGCGGGUUCAACUCCCGCCAGCUCCACCA
rnacentral:tmRNA from 1 species